ensembl:lincRNA
AGUAGCUGGGACUGUAGACCCAGGCCACCACCACACCUAAUUUUUUUUUCUUUUUUAGACACAGAGUCUUGCUGUGUUGCUCAAGCUGACCUCCAACUUCUAGGCUCAAGUGAUCCUUCCACCUCGACCUCCCGAAGUGUUGGAAUAACAGGUGUGAGCCUGCACCCCAGCCUAAUUCCACCAUUAAUUUGUCUCAGCAACUCCUUUGUUGCCAACUUUUACCGGACCCAUGGGUCUGAAAGAGAAGCACAGUCCAUAGUGUUCCAGCUUUGAGUGUGGCUCUCUCAGAAGCAGGUGUGACAGCUGCCUCCUUGCUAAGAGAAAGACGUUUCAGUGUCUGCCUCCUGGGAAUGGAGUCUCCUGGUGACUCUGAGGAUGGCGCAGGACUCUCCCAGCUAACACUACACAGAGGCUCCCCAUCUUCAUGCCACCCCUUUGCCAGCUGCAGCCUGUGUGGACCCAGACACUUCUGACCCAGGCUCCAGUGCCCGCAUGUCUGAUAGCCUGUAUUUCAAACUCUGGGCUCCCCUGGACAUUCCCUCUCCAGCUGUGUGUGAUGUUAUUUUUCAGACCCAUUUACUGUUGUCCAGUGGCCUGCCAAGACCUUUAGGUGAAGAUGCUGACUCCCUCGCCGGCUCUUCUUCAUUCUUUUCAAACACACGUCAGAGUGGAACGCACAUCCCUUUUGCUUCACCUUCCAGCUUCAAGUAAUUACAUGAGAGCUGUUCAAACUUGAGCAUGCGUCAGAAUCACCAGAGGGCUGGAUAAAACUGAGAUUGCUGAGCUCCACUCCCCGAGUUUCUAUUCAGUAAGUCUGGUGUAAGGCCUAAGAAUGUGCAUUUCUACAGUGUUCUCAGGUGAUGCUGAUGCUGCAGGUUUGGGGACCAUAUUUUGAGGACCAAUACAUUCUAUUUUAAUUCCACCAUUAAUAGUUAACUUUUAUUUUUUAGAGACAGGGCCUCGGUCUGCUGCCUAGGCUGGAGUGCAGUGGUGCAAUCAUUGUAACCUUAAACUCCUGGGCUCAAACGGACCUCAUGCCUCAGCCUCCUGAGUAGCUGGGACUGUAGACCCAGGCCACCACCACGCCUGGCUAAUUUUUUUUUUUCUUUCGUAGACACAGGGUCUUGCUGUGUUGCCCAGACUGGCCUCCAACUUCUGGGCUCAAGUGAUCCUUCCACCUUGACCUCCCGAAGUGUUGGAAUAACAGGUGUGAGCCUGCACCCCAGCCUAAUUCCACCAUUAAUUUGUAAGUGGUUUCCGCUAUGUUUAAAACUUAGCAGAAGCCGCAACUUUCCCUCAGCAAACCAGGGAACAGGCAGUAACCAAGUUCUCAAGACACCUUCUUAAUUAACUACUUAACCAGCGCUAGCUGCAUGCAAUUGAACACUGAGGAAGACAACUUUCAGGUACCAGGAGUUAGGAGCCAAGGCCCCGGGCAGGCGCCGUUUCUUCCAUGCAGCCUUCCCUGAUUCCCUGUUUGGUGGUGGUUUUCCUUUCUCUCUGCCUUCAGAAUGCAUUGCCUGCUUCUCCAUUACAGCAUUCACUGUGUGUCAUCCUGAAUUGUGGGUAUGAGUUGUAAGUCUUACAUGUUCUUGUAAACUUCUUAACAGUGAGGACUGGGUCACCCAGGAAAGUGGUUUGCAACAUGGUAGGUUCCUGAGGUUUGCUGGAUUGAAAUGAAUUUUAAGUUUUAAAUGUUAAGUUCUUAUCUUACUAUUUCAAACUCUCAUCACGGCCAAUUCCAGGUGAUGCUCUUUCCUGGGUUCCAAACGACACAGGGGCUUACUGGGGUGAAGGAGAGCUCCCCAGCACCGGGGCCUGGGAGCAGCUUGUGGCU